rnacentral:rRNA from 1 species
GUCUAUGGAAAUACCACCCUGAAUGUGCCCCGAUCUCAUCUGAACUCAGAAGCUAAGCAGGGGCACAUCUGGUUAGUACUUGGAUGGGAGAAAUUCUAUUGGUUUUAUUUGGCC